rnacentral:lncRNA from 1 species
CUGCUGGGCUAGGUCCAGAUCCGCUCCAGCGUCAAGGUGGCAUCCGAAGGUGUCUCUGGUCUUCCAGCGAGGUGGGAGAGGCCUCAUCCAGGGCCCAGCGGUCCCUGCAGAAGCCAGAAGGGCUGGGGGGGCCCUUGGCUGCGGGAGAAGGCCCAGAGCCCUGGAGGAGCCACCACCCCGCCGGCCCCUCGACCCCUCGGCCCCUCGGCCCCUCCGCCCGGGUUUGGCUCGCCCGGCCCGCGGGCUCCACCUCAGGUUUUCACUUUUCGCUCCGGAGCGAGAACGAAACGACAAAAACGCAAGAAAACAAUAAAACGCUAGAAAGCGAA